AGAGUUUGAUCCUGGCUCAGGACGAACGCUGGCGGCGUGCCUAAUACAUGCAAGUAGAACGCUGAAGGAGGAGCUUGCUUCUCUGGAUGAGUUGCGAACGGGUGAGUAACGCGUAGGUAACCUGCCUGGUAGCGGGGGAUAACUAUUGGAAACGAUAGCUAAUACCGCAUAAGAGUAGAUGUUGCAUGACAUUUACUUAAAAGGUGCACUUGCAUCACUACCAGAUGGACCUGCGUUGUAUUAGCUAGUUGGUGGGGUAACGGCUCACCAAGGCGACGAUACAUAGCCGACCUGAGAGGGUGAUCGGCCACACUGGGACUGAGACACGGCCCAGACUCCUACGGGAGGCAGCAGUAGGGAAUCUUCGGCAAUGGACGGAAGUCUGACCGNGAUUGCUAAUCGCUUAGCAGAAUUACUUACUUAUCACCAGAUUCCAAUAACGGAUGAGAGAAAAGUUCUAGGUGUCCGUACUAUUAUGGUCCGACGCGCGAGAAAGACCGGACAGGUUCAGAUUAUUAUUGUUACAAACCGCCAGCUUAAUUUAACCCAACUGGUAAAAGAGUUGGUUAAAGAUUUUCCAGAAGUUGUGACAGUAGCUGUUAAUACAAAUACAGCUAAAACCAGUGAGAUAUAUGGUGAAAAGACAGAGAUUAUCUGGGGGCAAGAGAGUAUUCAAGAAGGUGUACUCAAUUAUGAAUUUUCACUAUCCCCUCGAGCUUUUUAUCAACUAAAUCCUGAGCAAACAGAAGUCCUCUAUAGCGAAGCAGUAAAAGCGCUGGAUGUUGAUAAAGAAGAUCAUUUGAUUGACGCUUAUUGUGGAGUUGGAACGAUUGGAUUUGCCUUUGCAAAGAAAGUUAAAACACUCAGAGGUAUAGAUAUUGUUCCAGAAGCUAUUGAAGAUGCCAAGAGAAAUGCUAAAAGAAUGGGAUUUGACAACACUCACUAUGAAGCUGGAACCGCAGAAGAGAUUAUUCCACGUUGGUAUAAGGAUGGCUACCGAGCAGAUGCUUUGAUUGUUGACCCACCACGUACAGGUCUGGAUGAUAAGUUAUUAGAUACUAUUCUUACUUAUGUACCAGAAAAAAUGGUCUAUAUUUCUUGCAAUGUUUCAACUUUGGCAAGGGAUUUGGUACGCUUAGUAGAAGUCUAUGAUAUCCAUUAUAUUCAGUCGGUCGAUAUGUUUCCACACACUGCUCGAACUGAAGCUGUUGUAAAAUUAAUUAAAAAAAAUUAGAAAAAGUAGUUGACAAAACAUAAAAAGGCUGUAUAAUAGUAAGAGUUGAAAAUAGCAACUCAGGUCCGUUGGUCAAGGGGUUAAGACACCGCCUUUUCACGGCGGUAACACGGGUUCGAAUCCCGUACGGACUAUGGUAUGUUGCGUCAGGACCACUUGAUAAAAAAAGUUUAAAAAAACUUAAAAAUCUUCAAAAAAGUGUUGACAAGUGAAAGUGGCUGUGAUAUACUAAUAUAGUUGUCGCUUGAGAGAAGCAAGUGACAAAGACCUUUGAAAACUGAACAAGACGAACCAAUGUGCAGGGCGCUACAACGUAAGUUGUAGUACUGAACAAUGAAAAAACAAUAAAUCUGUCAGUGACAGAAAUGAGUGAGAACUCAAACUUUUAAUGAGAGUUUGAUCCUGGCUCAGGACGAACGCUGGCGGCGUGCCUAAUACAUGCAAGUAGAACGCUGAAGGAGGAGCUUGCUUCUCUGGAUGAGUUGCGAACGGGUGAGUAACGCGUAGGUAACCUGCCUGGUAGCGGGGGAUAACUAUUGGAAACGAUAGCUAAUACCGCAUAAGAGUAGAUGUUGCAUGACAUUUACUUAAAAGGUGCACUUGCAUCACUACCAGAUGGACCUGCGUUGUAUUAGCUAGUUGGUGGGGUAACGGCUCACCAAGGCGACGAUACAUAGCCGACCUGAGAGGGUGAUCGGCCACACUGGGACUGAGACACGGCCCAGACUCCUACGGGAGGCAGCAGUAGGGAAUCUUCGGCAAUGGACGGAAGUCUGACCGAGCAACGCCGCGUGAGUGAAGAAGGUUUUCGGAUCGUAAAGCUCUGUUGUAAGAGAAGAACGAGUGUGAGAGUGGAAAGUUCACACUGUGACGGUAUCUUACCAGAAAGGGACGGCUAACUACGUGCCAGCAGCCGCGGUAAUACGUAGGUCCCGAGCGUUGUCCGGAUUUAUUGGGCGUAAAGCGAGCGCAGGCGGUUAGAUAAGUCUGAAGUUAAAGGCUGUGGCUUAACCAUAGUAGGCUUUGGAAACUGUUUAACUUGAGUGCAAGAGGGGAGAGUGGAAUUCCAUGUGUAGCGGUGAAAUGCGUAGAUAUAUGGAGGAACACCGGUGGCGAAAGCGGCUCUCUGGCUUGUAACUGACGCUGAGGCUCGAAAGCGUGGGGAGCAAACAGGAUUAGAUACCCUGGUAGUCCACGCUGUAAACGAUGAGUGCUAGGUGUUAGACCCUUUCCGGGGUUUAGUGCCGUAGCUAACGCAUUAAGCACUCCGCCUGGGGAGUACGACCGCAAGGUUGAAACUCAAAGGAAUUGACGGGGGCCCGCACAAGCGGUGGAGCAUGUGGUUUAAUUCGAAGCAACGCGAAGAACCUUACCAGGUCUUGACAUCCCUCUGACCGCUCUAGAGAUAGAGUUUUCCUUCGGGACAGAGGUGACAGGUGGUGCAUGGUUGUCGUCAGCUCGUGUCGUGAGAUGUUGGGUUAAGUCCCGCAACGAGCGCAACCCCUAUUGUUAGUUGCCAUCAUUCAGUUGGGCACUCUAGCGAGACUGCCGGUAAUAAACCGGAGGAAGGUGGGGAUGACGUCAAAUCAUCAUGCCCCUUAUGACCUGGGCUACACACGUGCUACAAUGGCUGGUACAACGAGUCGCAAGCCGGUGACGGCAAGCUAAUCUCUUAAAGCCAGUCUCAGUUCGGAUUGUAGGCUGCAACUCGCCUACAUGAAGUCGGAAUCGCUAGUAAUCGCGGAUCAGCACGCCGCGGUGAAUACGUUCCCGGGCCUUGUACACACCGCCCGUCACACCACGAGAGUUUGUAACACCCGAAGUCGGUGAGGUAACCGUAAGGAGCCAGCCGCCUAAGGUGGGAUAGAUGAUUGGGGUGAAGUCGUAACAAGGUAGCCGUAUCGGAAGGUGCGGCUGGAUCACCU
rnacentral:tRNA from 1 species